rnacentral:rRNA from 1 species
GAUGAACGCUAGCUACAGGCUUAACACAUGCAAGUAGAGGGACCGGCGCACGGGUGAGUAACACGUAGCCAACCUGCCCUUUACUCGGGGAUAGCCUUUCGAAAGAAAGAUUAAUACCCGAUGUACAGGAUGGGGAUGCGUUCCAUUAGGUUGUUGGUGAGGUAACGGCUCACCAAGACUUCGAUGGAUAGGGGUUCUGAGAGGACUGUCCCCCACAUGUGAACUGAGACACGGUCCAAACUCCUACGGGAGGCAGCAGUGAGGAAUAUUGGUCAAUGGGCGGUAGCGUGAACCAACCAAGUAGCUUGAAGGAUUAAGGGUUAUGGGUCGUAAACUUUUUUUAUAUAAGAAUAUGUAUUAUAUGAAUAAGGAUCGGCUAACUCCGUGCCAGCAGCCGCGGUAAUAC